AGGAGAAUCUUCUAAUGUCCAUAGCAGCAGCACAAGAUGUAACCAACAGCAACUCAGACAGUGGCUGGGACUCUCCUCGUACCACGUCCUCAUUCUCAACCAUGUAAGGACUCCCUCCAUCCACUUUUUGUUUUGCAGAAAAUGUACUGUAUUACUGCAAUUUUCUACAGUUUUAGGUGGAGCAACUCCUGCAGCAGCUGGUUGGAGCAGAGUGAGGAUAAAUCCCUGCCUCGUGAUAGGUCAGAUCAUGGAGCAGGUCUCCACAGGUGUCCCUCUGUGCUGUCCGUAGACUCAGUGGCAAGCACCUUCCUGCCGAGCCCUUCGCCUGACUCGACACGCUCGUCAUCUACAACACGUAUAGGUGUUGCUCGAGGUCAGCCCGGCUGGAUGCUGCCUCCCUGGGCCCUGUGUGUGAUUUACCCGCUGGUGGCUCUGCUGCUGGGAGCCUGCCUGGCAGUUGUGGGACUCUAUGCAAGUUUCUUCUCCAGAACAGUCCUCCUCAUGUGGCUGGUGUCGGCUCUUUCUGCUUUUCUCACCUCUGCUCUGCUGCUGGAACCCCUCAAGGUAAACAUGUUCUCUAAUUAACUCGCUGUCUUUAAUCGAUAAUCAGUCAUAUGUACAUCUUCCCCUUCCUUCCUCAGGUGUGUGUGCAGGCAUUGAUCUACACAGUACUGUGGAGGCUGGUGGAUCCAGAGGUGGAGGAGCAGCUGGCUCGGGAAGCCAGUGUGGUAAGAUCAUUCGGGGAGAACAGCGGGAAGGUUCGACCGCCCUGCGGAUACGGACUGCUGCAGGCGAAAGAGGAGGCCCGAAAAGUUCGAGCUUUACGGUCACUCAUGAGGCACUGUGUGUGCCAGCUGCUGUUCCUGUUGCUGGUCCUGAUGGUCAACUACCAGGACAGAGCAGAAAAAGUGCAGGGCCGACUGCUGUACUCCACCAUCAGACGACACCUUCACACAGCACCCUCGGGACUUCCUAACCUCACCUCACUGAGAGACUGGUCAGAUACAGAGCAGUGGAUCAACCACAGCUUGGUGCCGCACCUCCAUCACAACCCCACCUUGGUGCUUGUAGGGCUGCCACAGCUGCAGUGCACACAUGCACUCGGUGGUCGGGCAGUUUACAUUCUGGGAAACAACAGUGAAUCAACACGCCGAGUCCUAGAAAAUAGGGACAAGAAACAGUUAAAAAGUCUAUCUAUAGACUUCACCCAGUACCACAGAGAGUCCAGUUUAUUCAUGUGUGUGUCUGUACAACUAGAGUGGGUUCAGACACAAGGAGUCACUCCUUCCCUCUCCAUCCAUCCCCUCCUCAUCCCUCCAUCCUCCUCAGGACUGAACCUCCAGAAGGUCCUAAUGGUAACAAACCUAUUUCAAACAAAUUUCAUAAAGAAUCAUGCAC
ensembl:lncRNA